rnacentral:rRNA from 1 species
UACGAACGCUGGCGGCAUGCCUAACACAUGCAAGUCGAACGAAGGCUUCGGCCUUAGUGGCGCACGGGUGCGUAACGCGUGGGAAUCUGCCCAAAGGUUCGGAAUAACUCAGGGAAACUUGAGCUAAUACCGGAUGAUGUCGCAAGACCAAAGAUUUAUCGCCUUUGGAUGAGCCCGCGUAGGAUUAGCUUGUUGGUGGGGUAAUGGCCCACCAAGGCGACGAUCCUUAGCUGGUCUGAGAGGAUGAUCAGCCACACUGGGACUGAGACACGGCCCAGACUCCUACGGGAGGCAGCAGUGGGGAAUAUUGGACAAUGGGCGAAAGCCUGAUCCAGCAAUGCCGCGUGAGUGAUGAAGGCCUUAGGGUUGUAAAGCUCUUUUACCCGGGAUGAUAAUGACAGUACCGGGAGAAUAAGCUCCGGCUAACUCCGUGCCAGCAGCCGCGGUAAUACGGAGGGAGCUAGCGUUGUUCGGAAUUACUGGGCGUAAAGCGCAC